rnacentral:rRNA from 1 species
AGGACGAACGCUGGCGGCGUGCUUAACACACGCAAGUCGAGCGGUAAGGCCUUUCGGGGUACACGAGCGGCGAACGGGUGAGUAACACGUGGGUGAUCUGCCCUGCACUUCGGGAUAAGCCUGGGAAACUGGGUCUAAUACCGGAUAUGACCUCAGGUUGCAUGACUUGGGGUGAAAGAUUUAUCGGUGCAGGAUGGGCCCGCGGCCUAUCAGCUUGUUGGUGGGUAAUGGCCUACCAAGGCGACGACGGGUAGCCGACCUGAGAGGUGACCGGCCACACUGGGACUGAGACACGGUCCAGACUCCUACGGGAGGCAGCAGUGGGAAUUUGGACAAUGGGCGCAAGCCUGAUCCAGCAAUGCCGCGUGCAGGAAGAAGGCCUUCGGUUGUAAACUGUCUUUGUAC